rnacentral:pre_miRNA from 1 species
CAGGGAAAGAGAAAGGAAGGAAGAAAGAGAGAGAGGAGGAAAACGGAGACAGGGAAAGGAGAAACAGAUUACAUUUGAUCUUCUCUUCUCCUUCUAUUUUUUUUCCUGCCUUUUUUUCCACCCUCUCUUCCCUUCUUUUUCUCCUUAUGUUU